UCUCGCUCCUCUUCCCUUCUUCAUAUGUGUCGUUCUCGUUCCUCUCAGUUUCCUCUAUUGCAUCGUGCGUCUUUUUCUCUCCUCUCAGUUUCCUCUACUGCGCCGUUUCGUUUUGGUGCAAAUUCCUCUCAUCUCAGGUUCGUAUUCUUUUUAUUACUUAUUUAUCUGUUUUUAUUAUAUUUUAAUUUUAUUACUUCUUUCUCUGUUUCUUUUUUAUUUUAUUUUAAUUUUAUUACUUCUUCUUCUACUGCCUCUCGUUUACUUUUUAAAUUUUUUUUACUUCAUUUUUUUUUGUUUUUUUCAUUUUGUUUUUCUUUUUAAUUUAAUUUUUUUUUUUCAUUUUGCUUUUUUUUUUUUUUACUUCUUUUUUCUUUUGUUUUCUUAUGUUUUCUUUUUAAUUUAAUUUAAAUUUUUUUUGUUACUUCUUUUUUUUUUCAUUUUAAUGUUUUUUUUUUCUUUUGUUACUUCUUUCUUUUUGUUUUUUUAUUUUAAUUUAUUUUUUCUCGUUAAUUCAUUUUUUCUUUCUGUUUUUUUUUUCUUUAGUUACUUAUUUAUGUUGAAGAUGAUGGCCGGGAGGAGGAGGAGAACGAAACAUAUAUUGAAGUUGAUGGGAAAGAGGAGGAAGAAGACUAUGUUGAAGAUGAUGAUGAUCUUUGAUUCCUAUAACAUGCAUUUUAAUUUUAAUAUUUUGUUGUUUUAUUACUCUAUUAUGUUGAAGAAGAUGAUGAUAUUUAGUAUCUAAAUGUAUGUUUUGAUUAAAGACUAUUUG
rnacentral:lncRNA from 1 species